AUUCAUAAGACUUUUCCAUAUCAGAAGCCAGUCAGAUCCAUCAUUCUUCUCUGACAGCUGCUUGGUAUUCUUUUAUAAGAAAGGACCAUAGUUUAAUUAACCAGUCCUCCAUUGAUGGCUAUUGCCAACCUUUUACCAUUACAAACAAUUCUACAGUGAAAACCACAUGCAUAGUGUCAUAAAUAUCAGUUGCUGUAUUUCUCUAUUGCAAGGCAAGCAAGAAAACAGGCCUCAGGAGUUGAGGUAAUGGCAGAGGGUCACAGCAAGUUGUCCUUGCCUGAAGCCUCCCUUAGUGCAGAGCCUGCCACUCAACGUCCUCACUCCACCCUGUCUACAGGCUAAAUGAGGUCACACGAGUGCUUUCAGAAGUUUGUUACCCACAGAGAGAUCACAUAUCACUACCAAGGAAACCCAAAGGAAGUCCAAGUUCUAGUAAGAAAAGUAACAAUCUAGUCAUGAUCAGUUUUGAAUUCUUCCCUGCUCUCAAGAAGAGAAUUGAUGCAUUCUCGACAAUUUCUUCAUGUUUUACUUGUUCUUUUUAGAUUAUACAUGACAGUAGAGUGUGUUUUGACAUAUUAUACAUACAUGGAGUAUAACAUAUUCUAAUUAAGAUCCCAUUAUUGGGGUUGUAUGUGAUGUGAAAGUACAAUGGGCAUGAAUUCAUAUGUGGACACAGGAAAGUUACAUCGGAUUCAUUCUACAGUCUUCCCUAUUCCUCUCCCCCUCCCUUCCCUUUAUUCCCCUUUGACUAAUCCAAUGAAUUUCUGUCCCCCCACCCCAGCCUGUUGUGUGUGAACAUCCACAUAUCAGAGAGAACAUUCAGCCUUUGAUUUCUUGGGAUUGGCUUACAAUAUGUGUUUUUUAUCAUUAAGCAUUUUAUGUGGUUGACAAUGUGACAGUUUUAUGGGCGAACACAUGAUGCUUCAUGUUAGAGAGGCGUUUGGUUAUUUAUUUUAUUUUUGUGGUGUUGGGGAUCAAACCCAGGGCCUUGCAUCUGCCAGGCAGAUGGUCUACCACUGAGCUAAACCCCCAGUGAGCAAUUCCUAGAGAGAUUUCAAGCAACAAGGAGAGAGCGAAUUUCCCUCAGAAGUUUGAGGAGCUUUCUUAUACAAGCUCAAGGAAUUGAUCAUCUGCUUAAAACAUCCGUAGCGAAUAUCCACAUAGUGAAAACACAACCACAACAGUUUCUUUCGAGAGGAAGAAAUAGUACAGAAUUAGAGCUGAUGAGGGGGAAAAAUAUUACCGGAAGGAAGUAAUCUAAUACAAUCGAAGAUUGAUUGGCCUUUGAUAAAAUGUACUGGAGUAAGGAUAUGGUCAAAUAGGUGUUCUGAUAAAAGAGGAAACUGGGGCAGGUGAGGUUAACCAAUGUAUCUAAGCAACAAAGUGCUGGCACGGACUCAUACAGCCCCCUGAGGGCUGAUAUUCAGGAAUUCGGCAAGCAAAUUUGUAGAUUAAAAUUUAAAAAAAAAAAAAAUAGGC
rnacentral:lncRNA from 1 species